rnacentral:rRNA from 1 species
UUGAACGCUGGCGGCAUGCUUUACACAUGCAAGUCGAACGGUAACAGGGAGCUUGCUCCGCUGACGAGUGGCGAACGGGUGAGUAAUGCAUCGGAACGUACCCAGUCGUGGGGGAUAACGUAGCGAAAGUUACGCUAAUACCGCAUACGUCCUGAGGGAGAAAGCGGGGGACCGUAAGGCCUCGCGCGAUUGGAGCGGCCGAUGUCGGAUUAGCUAGUUGGUGGGGUAAAGGCCUACCAAGGCGACGAUCCGUAGCUGGUGUGAGAGGAUGAUCCGCCACACUGGAACUGAGACACGGUCCAGACUCCUACGGGAGGCAGCAGUGGGGAAGUUUGGACAAUGGGGGCAACCCUGAUCCAGCCAUUCCGCGUGAGUGAAGAAGGCCUUCGGGUUGUAAAGCUCUUUCAGCAGGAACGAAACGGUGGCCAUUAAUACUGGCUACUAAUGACGGUACCUGAAGAAGAAGCACCGGCUAACUACGU